GAUGAACGCUGGCGGCAUGCCUAACACAUGCAAGUCGAACGGACUCUUAUUUGUUCUUUGUCUCUGAUUCGUAAGGAUCAGUGCCAUGGAACAGUAAGAGUUAGUGGCGGACGGGUGAGUAACACGUUGGUACCUACCCUCUAGUGGGGAAUAACUUCGAGAAAUCGAAGCUAAUACCGCAUAAUAUCUACGGAUUAAAGCAUUUAUGCGCUAGAGGAGGGGCCUGCGCUGAUUAGCUAGUUGGUGAGGUAAAAGCUCACCAAGGCGACGAUCAGUAGCUGGAUCGAGAGGUUGACCAGCCACACUGGGACUGAGAUACGGCCCAGACUCCUACGGGAGGCAGCAGUGAGGAAUCUUCCACAAUGGACGAAAGUCUGAUGGAGCAAUGCCGCGUGCAGGAUGACGGCCUCGG
rnacentral:rRNA from 1 species